UACGGGGGGAGCAAGCGUUGUUCGGAUUUACUGGGCGUAAAGGGCGCGUAGGCGGCCACUGCAAGUCAGUUGUGAAAUCUCCGGGCUUAACCCGGAAAGGUCAACUGAUACUGCAGGGCUAGAGUGCAGAAGGGGCAACUGGAAUUCUCGGUGUAGCGGUGAAAUGCGUAGAUAUCGAGAGGAACACCUGCGGCGAAGGCGGGUUGCUGGGCUGACACUGACACUGAGGCGCGAAAGCCAGGGGAGCGAACGGG
rnacentral:rRNA from 1 species